rnacentral:rRNA from 1 species
UGGGGAAUUUUGGACAAUGGGGGAAACCCUGAUCCAGCCAUCCCGCGUGUGCGAUGAAGGCCUUCGGGUUGUAAAGCACUUUUGGCAGGAAAGAAACGUCAUGGGUUAAUACCCCGUGAAACUGACGGUACCUGCAGAAUAAGCACCGGCUAACUACGUGCCAGCAGUCGCGGUAAUACGUAGGGUGCAAGCGUUAAUCGGAAUUACUGGGCGUAAAGCGUGCGCAGGCGGUUCGGAAAGAAAGAUGUGAAAUCCCAGAGCUCAACUUUGGAACUGCAUUUUUAACUACCGGGCUUGAGUGUGUCAGAGGGAGGUGGAAUUCCGCGUGUAGCAGUGAGAUGCGUAGAUAUGCGGAGGAACACCGAUGGCGAAGGCAGCCUCCUGGGAUAACACUGACGCUCAUGCACGAAAGCGUGGGGAGCAAACAGG